rnacentral:rRNA from 1 species
UAGUCCACGCCGUAAACGAUGGACACUCGUUGUUGGGCCGCAAGGUUCAGUGACCUAGCGAAAGCGUUAAGUGUCCCACCUGGGGAGUACGUUCGCAAGGAUGAAACUCAAAGGAAUUGACGGGGGCCCGCACAAGCGGUGGAGCAUGUGGUUUAAUUCGAUGACACGCGAGGAACCUUACCAGGGCUUAAAUGUAUAUUGCUAGGAUCAGAGAUGAUUUUUUCUUCGGACAAUAUGCAAGGUGCUGCAUGGUUGCCGUCAGCUCGUGCCGUGAGGUGUCAGGUUAAGUCCUAGAACGAGCGCAACCCUUGUCCUUAGUUACCAGCACGUAAAGGUGGGGACUCUAAGGAGACUGCCGGUGCAAGCCGCGAGGAAGGAAAGGACGACGUCAAAUCAUCACGGCCCUUACGCCCUGGGCUACACACGUGCUACAAUGGUAUGUACAGAGAGCUCUGCUUACGGGCGACCGUUGGCGAAUCUACAAAGCAUAUCACAGUUCGGAUCGG